rnacentral:rRNA from 1 species
GGGCCCGCACAAGCGGUGGAGCAUGUGGUUUAAUUCGACGCAACGCGAAGAACCUUACCAAGGCUUGACAGAGAUCUGAAAGCGGGAGAAAUCCCGCCCUCCUACGGGACAGAGAAAACAGGUGGUGCAUGGUUGUCGUCAGCUCGUGUCGUGAGAUGUUGGGUUAAGUCCCGCAACGAGCGCAACCCUUAUCUUUAGUAGCCAUCGGGUAGAGCCGGGCACUCUAGAGAGACUGCCGUGGAUAACACGGAGGAAGGUGGGGAUGAGGUCAAAUCAUCAUGCCCCUUAUGUCUUGGGCAACACACGUGCUACAAUGGCUGUAACAAAGUGAAGCGAAAGGGCGACCUGGAGCAAAGCACAAAAAGCAAGUCUCAGUUCGGAUUGUAGUCUGCAACUCGACUAUAUGAAGCUGGAAUCGCUAGUAAUCGCGAAUCAGCAUGUCG